rnacentral:rRNA from 1 species
GGAUGAACGUUGGCGGUGUGCCUAAUACAUGCAAGUCGAACGGAGCUAAUAGCAAUAUUGGCUCAGUGGCGAACGGGUGAGUAACGCGUUGGUGAUCUGCCUUGAAGUGUGGAAUAACGUUUCGAAGGGAACGCUAAUACCGCAUGUGCUCUCGAUUUUCAGAAAGUUGAGAGUAAAGGAUUUAUUCGCUUCAAGAGGAGCCUGCGUCCCAUCAGCUGGUUGGUAGGGUAACGGCCUACCAAGGCUAUGACGGGUAGGGGACCUGAGAGGGUGGCCCCCCACAAUGGAACUGAAACACGGUCCAUACACCUACGGGUGGCAGCAGUAGGGAAUAUUAGAAAUGGACGAAAGUCUGAUCUAGCAACACCGCGUGUGCGAAGAAGGCCUUCGGGUCGUAAAGCACUUUUUGGAAGGAAUAGGAAGGAAUGUACUUCCAGAAUAAGUCUCGGCUAACUACGUGCCAGCAGCCGCGGUAACACGUAGGAGGCAAACGUUAUCCGGAUUUACUGGGCGUAAAGCGCGUGUAGGUGGUUUGGUAAGUAGGGCGUGAAAGCUCCUGGCUCAACUGGGAGAGGACGUUCUAAACUGCCAAGCUUGAGGAUGGUAGAGGGAGGUGGAAUUCCGGGUGUAGCGGUGGAAUGCGCAGAUAUCCGGAGGAACACCAGUGGCGAAGGCGGCCUCCUGGACCACUCCUGACACUCAGACGCGAAAGCUAGGGUAGCAAACGGGAUUAGAGACCCCGGUAGUCCUAGCCCUAAACGAUGUAGACUUGGCGUCGGUGGUUUAAUCGCCAUCGGUGUCGUAGCUAACGCGAUAAGUCUACCGCCUGGGGACUACGGCCGCAAGGUUAAAACUAAAAGGAAUUGACGGGUCCCCGCACAAGCAGCGGAGCGUGUGGUUUAAUUCGAUGCUACACGAAGAACCUUACCUGGGUUUGACAUAGAGGUAGUAGGGAAGCGAAAGCGGACCGACCCUUCGGGGAGCCUCUACAGGUGUUGCAUGGCUGUCGUCAGCUCGUGUCGUGAGAUGUUCGGUUAAGUCCGCUAACGAGCGCAACCCUCGCUGUGUGUUACAAGUGUCACACGGUACUGCCGAUAUUAAGUCGGAGGAAGGUGGGGAUGACGUCAAGUCAGCAUGACCUUUAUAUCCAGGGCUACACACACGCUACAAUGGCCAGUACAAAGGGCAGCUACACCGCGAGGUGAUGCUAAUCUCGAAACCCGGUCUCAGUUCGGAUCGAAGUCUGCAACCCGACUUCGUGAAGUUGGAUUCGCUAGUAACCGCGCAUCAGCCACGGCGCGGUGAAUACGUUCCCGGGCCU